AGGGCCAAUUCAAUUAUUUGGCGGAGCUCAAACUGCCUGAAGAAGCCUUAUACUGGGAUUCUAGGAAAGGCAGAGUUGGAGCCUUCGAACAUCUUUUCCACAAAGGCAACUUCUCCAUCCUUAUGAGAUCGGUCCAAGAAUCUGACCUGGGCUUGUACCACUGUGAGCUGUUUGAGGGGAUCAACUGUAGCAUUGGCUGUCAAGAGGUGGAACUCAGUCUGCGAAAAGCAGGCGAUGCACGGCCGGGUGUGAUGGUGAACUACCGGUUCUGCGUAGCUGGCGGGGGGGUCUUCCUUUUACUGCUCCUUGGUUGCGCUUGCUGUGUACGGUAUAGAUGUGUUAAGAUGCAGCAGCCAAGCCACAGUUCUGGACGCUCCACUACUGAAUAUACAGAUAAUUAUUUG